ensembl:lncRNA
CGGCUGCAACGUUCCCAGCACCGGUGGGGGACGCGGCGCUCCCCGAAGCGCAGAGCAGCCACCGGUACCGCGGGACCCGCCCUCAGCAGCGCAGCGCUGCGCCCCGACCGCGCUCGGGACCGCGCGGCGUUGCGGGCAGAGCGGUCCCGGCUCCGUUCCCACCUCUCCCGCCCGCUUCCCGGUGGUUGUAAGGCGCUGCCACGGGGCACAGCGGCUCGCUCUCCCGCAUCCCGCUUCCCCGCAUCGGCCGCCGGGGUGAGGCGGCAAGAGCCGAGCGUUCCAGCUGCGAGCGGGCGGACGGACGGACGGGAGCCCCGGGGGGCACGGCCACCUGCGGCCCCAGCCUCGCCCCCGACGAGUCCCUCGCGGAACGGGCUCUCACCUGGCGGCAUGCAGAGGGCUGCGAGCAGCAGACAGAGCAGCGGGCGGCGGCGGCAGGAGGCGCGGGCGGCGGCGGCGGGGGGCUCCAUCAUCCCGCCUGCCCGCGGCGGGACCGGGAGGCGGCGGGGAGACGGCGGCGGCACGCGGGGCUCUUCCCUCCGGCUGCGGAGCGCGGAGGCAACUUCUCUCGUUUCGCGGCCGUCCGCGGGCGCGGCAAGUGGCGGGGCGGCUGCUCUCCCUCUCGGCGCGCGGCGAGGAGCGACUCCGCACCGGAGCAGCAGAUUUCCUGAAGGACUGAACAACUGUGGGGUAUAAUUUGCAUCAGAAACCAGGAAGGAAGAAGAUGGGUUUUAAUGCGAAAGCUGUUCUGAACGUCUCCUUGACUGUUUUCAUUUUGGACUCAUUCUGACCUAUACUCAGCAAAGCGCUCUUAUUUAUAGACUUCAUUAGCCAGUCUCUCCCAGGAUUUAUGCUGCUUCUUGUUUCAUCAGCUGGUGAUUCUGCCCAGGUUUCCUCCUGAGCAGAAGUAGAUACAGAGCAUCAGCAAACAACAGUUCUACCUUUAGAUACGGGAGCCAUGCCAAGACUUCAGCUAGCACCAUUCCCAUUUUUCUCAAUCCAACCAAGGAUGAAAGUAUCCUAUUUUGCACUCAGUUCUGAAAGCAAGCAGCUGAUACUUCAGGAACACUACCAGCACAAAUAUCUUCUUGUGGGUUUGUGCUUUCAAAGAAACUAUGAUCAAGAUACAUUGAUAUGAUUAUUUUGCAUGUUCCUGUUCCUUAUCAAAUUUUGACAUUCUAGAAAGAGAGAAACUUUCCACAUCAUCCCAUAAAUACCCACCAUCAAAUGGUAUUUUGUUACUUUGCCUGUCCACACUCUCUUGCUCUGGUACUCGUUCUUUCCAUAAUGCUUGGGAUUUUUUCCUUUUCUUCUAGGAAUGAGAAAUGCAGUAAGCCUCAAUGCUGUUAACACUUAUGCAGGUAAAAGCAACCCAAUGAAACCAAUGACACUACCUUGGAGGAGCUGGAGAACUCUUGUAUGGAACUGUAAAAGCAGGCAUUCUGCUGCCUGCAACUCUCUAAAGCACAUUUGGUUGAUUUAAAAAGAUGGCCAAACAGUGACAACCUGCUGUGUUCACUUUCCUCCCAUCAAUGUUGAUAUAACUCAGCUUGGAAUGCAAAUCUCUAAUAAAACAUUAGAGUGUUUUAUUUUGCA